rnacentral:rRNA from 1 species
GACGAACGCUGGCGGCGUGCUUAACACAUGCAAGUCGAACGGAAAGGCCCUGCUUUUGUGGGGUGCUCGAGUGGCGAACGGGUGAGUAACACGUGAGUAACCUGCCCUUGACUUUGGGAUAACUUCAGGAAACUGGGGCUAAUACCGGAUAGGAGCUCCUGCUGCAUGGUGGGGGCUGGAAAGUUUCGGCGGUUGGGGUUGGACUCGCGGCUUAUCUGCUUGUUGUUGGGGUAGUGGUGUACCAAGGCUUUGACGAGUAGCCGACCUGAGAGGGUGAGCGGCCACACUGGGAGUGAGAAGCGGCACAGACUGAUACGGGAGGAAGGAGUAGGGAAUCUUCGGCAAUGGACGGAAGGCUGAGCGAGCAACGCCGCGUGAGGGAAGAAGGUUGUCGGAUCGUAAAGCUCGGUUGGAAGAGAAGAAAGAGUGUGAGAGUGGAAAGUUCACACUGUGAAGGUAUCUUACCAGAAAGGGACGGCUAAAUACGUG